ensembl:lncRNA
UUUUCAUUUACCUACAUAUUGCAGUAUUUAUUGUCUGUUGUUGCUUAGAUUUAAAAGAAAAUUCAGGUUAUGAUUUCAAAUCCUUUAUCUGAUCAAAAGCAACUAACGUCCAGAUCUCUUUUGUGAGCCUAUUCUUAAAGAAUUGACCUAAGGAAAACCUUGAUUUUCUAGGAAGAUACUCUUAUCUACCUGACUUUGGAAAUACAGAUAACAAUGUUGCACACUCUUAGGUACACGGGUGAUGGAAGAGGAUUUGUGGCAUAAUGAUUAAGAGCUUGGUUCUGGAAUCAAACAAACCUGGCCUGGAUUCCCUGGGCCUCCUGCUUAUGGUUCUGACACUGAGUUUAAUUGCUUUUACAGGUCACAAUAGAAAUGUGUUUGCUUUCCUGUUAAAUUGUGAAGUACAGAAAAAUCUUAUAGAAGUUGAAGAAGUUGUACCAGGAGUUGUUGAUGAAGAUAGCAAAACCCAAACCACCCACCAAAUAACUAACAAUACCUACACCCCUACCCCACAAAUGAAUUCAGAAAUACCAAGAAAGAUGCAGUCCUUCAAAGUAUUGGUUGUUGACAUUUUGCAGGUGGUAGCAGUAAAAAUGCAUAUACAUAAAUAUAACUCUUCAUCUUCCAGACAGCAGCCUCCUGGAAUUCCAAGUAUAGGCUUCCUACGUGCAUCCCAGAAAUAGCUCAUUUUCCUUUUUCUUCUUUUUGAAGAGCAAGAACCAUCCACUUCUUUGGUGAACAGUAGCCCUAUCACCAACCAGCACAGAUAAGUAUAGUAGAGAAACACUGAAGGCCCCUCUACUGUGAUUGGUGGAAAGGGAAUGGCUGGUAGUGUCUACAAAAGGUCAGCUUACUUCUAGAAAGCCUCAGGGGUAUGGGAAAGGUGCCUGAAAAUAUGGAGAAGGAAGUAGGAGGGGGAAGGAAAAGAAUGGCAGGAUUGGUGGUGAAGGGAGAGGAGUGAUUAGUAGGCUGACAGCAGGUAAGAAAGAGGGACAGCAGCAAAGGGCUGCAUUGGAAGGGACCAGAAAGCCACUGGUAUCGACAUCAGAAGCAUCUUCUUGCAGUUAAUGGAUCUUCCCUUGUACUGAGAAGAAUCCCAAUAUUCUCAGAGAAUUCAGAUUGCCUGUUGAAGGCACACUAGAGGGUAAAGAUCAGUAGUUUGCGGUGGAGGUUAGAGUGGAAGAUAUUUAUGGAAUAGUAUAUAUGACAAAGGAACCCUUUCAUUUAAGAUAAAAGGAAAAGGAGGUACUUGCAUACCAAAAAAAUAUAUAUAUAUAUAUUUGAAUUCUCCACAUUUCAGUGUUUUAAUCUUUGGCAAUGUACAUAAAACCAUCACUAUGCUUUUCAUACCAAAUGUUUGAAGUGAUGACCCCAUUUUGACCGGAGGGUGGAUCAAUGUGGACAAAGACCUUUGUCUUUGGAGUCAGAUGGACAAGAAUUCAGGCCUCUUGGUGUUUUUCUGAUAUUGGACAAUUUACUUGCUGUUUUCUUGGUUAAGAAGACACGUCUUGUUUUACAUGAGGAGUUUAUCUUAAAAUUAUGUGAGGAUUAAAAUAAGAGCAUGUAUUUUAAAAGGGACUAGGUCAGUGCCUGAUACACACUUGACUGUGUGCUCAGUUCUGUUUGCCUUCCCCUGUGUGAAGGGCUUUGGAAGUCCCUGUGAGUAAAAAGGCAUGCAAUUUUAGAAAAGGUUAGGAUGAUAUAUUUUUAGUGAUUAUAUCAUUAAAUGUGUCUGCUUUCUCAAUUCCCUAGAAUCAGGAAGAAUUUUCUUUUGGGGUGAGAGAAAAUGUGAACACGAGACAUUUCACUCAACACCACACCCUUGCCGCUCACACUUACUCGGCCGUAGCUGCUCUGCUUUAUUUGUAGUGCUUUCUCCAAUGGCAGUAGUUAGUGAAGGUCACAAUCUUUAGGAGGGUCUAACUCCUGCCCAUCUUUCUAGUCUCACCCUUGUCACUCUCUCCCCCAUUGACUACAGCCUCAGCCACACUGGCUUCAUUCAUUCCUCCAACACCCCGAACGCCUUUCCUCCUCAGGGCCUUUGUUGCCUCUCCUUGAAAUACUUGCCCUGGCCUUCUGUCUCUUACACACGUAUGCACGCACAUACACACACCCUACUUCGGUUCAACUGAUUCCUACGAAUUCCUACUUAUAUUUCACGUUGUCACUUCGCUACUCCAGCCGAGGUUAGAUUUAGAUCUUCUGGUAAAAAGCUUUUCCAACAUCCACCCUGCAACUUACCUCAACUCUAAUUAAUUCUCUUGGUGGGUAGGCUAAUGUCUAUCUUUCUCUCUGACUAAAACAUCAGUGAGGACAGAGACUGUCUGUCUUGGUCAUAACUCUGUCCUCCACUUUCAGUUCUGUUCCUGGUACAUAAUAGAUGGUCAACAAAUAGUUGUCCAAUAAAUGAUGCCAGCAUCAGGAACCA